CUCUUGGUUUUAAUGCAUCAACAAGUAUGAAACAAAGGGAACGAUCUGACUGUCUACACCAAGUCUAAGCAAGCUGGUUCCUGUCGCUCUACAGCUUACCCUCCCCAAUUCGAAACCUGUUCUCAGUGCGAUUGUUAGCUGCCAGGAGGAGUUCCACAAAACGACCCUUCUAAAAAAUAUGUGUGUGAUGAUUGACGACAAAACAACAUCAGUUGCUGUCUACGAGGUCAAAAUUUUUCGUCCAGGAAACUGUCAGAAUUUUUAAUUACAUCCCUAUUAUUCAAUAUGUUGGUUAAAUUAUUUUAGUCUAGAGUUAUAUCAUGAGCCCCAUUGUGUCCCAAUCACGCAGGCCAUAAACUUUGAGGUUACAAUAGGAUGAAACUUGGUGGAACCUUGUGGACAAUUUCUAGCUAGGGGACCAGACAAUUGCUCUACUCGGAUGCUGUAAUUUUCAACAGAAUGUUCUGGUCCUGUUUUUGCAUUAGAUUGACAAAACAGUACCACUACAUAUACGUGUUUGCUUUAGACUACUAGAGGCUGUUAUUCUUUAAAUACGAAACUUAAUGUUCAAGGUUCAACUUGUAUUUUCCUCGACUUCAGCUAAUAGGAAGAUUGCCGCGAAUAAUUUCCACUGUCAAACUAAUUAAAGAAUUUAGCUGAGGGUCAGGGACCAUCUCACAGAAGAACCCCACUGGCAUAACCAGUUGUUUUUAUAGCACAGUAAAUCAGCAGUGGAUGCGAUGAUACAAAGACUGCGGGAGCGCUCCUUGUGGACCUUUGCCUACUAAGCAGGCGGAGCGAACAUCUUAUAAUUUAAACCAGGCCACGUUUAUAUUUCACUAUUCUUCCAGAAGUGGGGGCAGUGCUAGAACCGGGACGGUGCUAGAGGAUUUUGAUCCAGGGGUAGAAGGAUAAGGAUCAAGUCAAAUCAAGGUGGGUGAAAAUUUCACAGAGUUUUUUACCAUGUCCAACCCGAUUCCACUUUAAUUUUCACCCCUAAAAAGGGUCAUUUGACAGGGUAUUUGCAAGUUCCAUUUUCAGCUAACUUGGAAAAAAUGCUUGCUAUUGAACAAACAGAAAAACCAAGAUGAAUUGUUUGAAAAGAACACCUGAUAAAUUGACCCGAAACAUGACAACAUUCAAAGUACCAGAGUGUUCAUAUCAGCCGACUGCAUUAGGUUUGAAUAGAAGACCAUCACAAGGGUUAAUACAAGGUGUUCUUAUCAUGGCCAUGAGGCAAUUACAAUCAAGUCAAUUCAUUAAAGUAAUUACAAUUUUUCAAUUUUUAGUCAUAAUGCUAAAUUCUUGCCAAUCAAAACACACAUGCAACUAAAGCAACUGUAGGCAUCUUCUUGCCCAAUAUCAGCUGCUUCUGUAAGCAUCUUCAUCAGUAUAUGUAAUUUUUGAGACAACGUUGCAGAAUUCCCUGUAAAGAACAAUGUCAACAACUAUUGAUAUCAGAUUAAUUUUAAAAGGUUGAAACUCGAAACAUAGUCAUUUUCAAUAACAAUCACACCCUGAAUGUAGGCCAUGAUCAUGGAAAACAUUCCUUGGAUGCACUGUGAAGCACUUCAAAUCAGAUUGCAUACCACAAAAUUGCGACAUUUUCAAGCCAACUACUCUCCAAAUUCUCCAGGCAUCGUCAAGGCAUUCUAGAAUAAGUACUUCCAAGGUUGACUAUAACGGUCCCAAAACAAAGUAUCAUUGUUCAUAAUAGAAAAUUAAAACUUCAGUUGUUAAUCUCCACAAACAACCAUAUGAUGAAUCACCCCUAUCAUUGUAAAAACUUUUCAUCCUUUUUCCACCCAA
rnacentral:sRNA from 1 species